rnacentral:rRNA from 1 species
ACGCUAGCUACAGGCUUAACACAUGCAAGUCGAGGGGCAGCAUGGUCUUAGCUUGCUAAGGCCGAUGGCGACCGGCGCACGGGUGAGUAACACGUAUCCAACCUGCCGUCUACUCUUGGACAGCCUUCUGAAAGGAAGAUUAAUACAAGAUGGCAUCAUGAGUCCACAUGUUCACAUGAUUAAAGGUAUUCCGGUAGACGAUGGGGAUGCGUUCCAUUAGAUAGUAGGCGGGGUAACGGCCCACCUAGUCUUCGAUGGAUAGGGGUUCUGAGAGGAAGGUCCCCCACAUUGGAACUGAGACACGGUCCAAACUCCUACGGGAGGCAGCAGUGAGGAAUAUUGGUCAAUGGGCGAGAGCCUGAACCAGCCAAGUAGCGUGAAGGAUGACUGCCCUAUGGGUUGUAAACUUCUUUUAUAAAGGAAUAAAGUCGGGUAUGCAUACCCGUUUGCAUGUACUUUAUGAAUAAGGAUCGGCUAACUCCGUGCCAGCAGCCGCGGUAAUACGGAGGAUCCGAGCGUUAUCCGGAUUUAUUGGGUUUAAAGGGAGCGUAGAUGGAUGUUUAAGUCAGUUGUGAAAGUUUGCGGCUCAACCGUAAAAUUGCAGUUGAUACUGGAUAUCUUGAGUGCAGUUGAGGCAGGCGGAAUUCGUGGUGUAGCGGUGAAAUGCUUAGAUAUCACGAAGAACUCCGAUUGCGAAGGCAGCCUGCUAAGCUGCAACUGACAUUGAGGCUCGAAAGUGUGGGUAUCAAACAGGAUUAGAUACCCUGGUAGUCCACACGGUAAACGAUGAAUACUCGCUGUUUGCGAUAUACUGCAAGCGGCCAAGCGAAAGCGUUAAGUAUUCCACCUGGGGAGUACGCCGGCAACGGUGAAACUCAAAGGAAUUGACGGGGGCCCGCACAAGCGGAGGAACAUGUGGUUUAAUUCGAUGAUACGCGAGGAACCUUACCCGGGCUUAAAUUGCAGAUGAAUUACGGUGAAAGCCGUAAGCCGCAAGGCAUCUGUGAAGGUGCUGCAUGGUUGUCGUCAGCUCGUGCCGUGAGGUGUCGGCUUAAGUGCCAUAACGAGCGCAACCCUUGUUGUCAGUUACUAACAGGUUCUGCUGAGGACUCUGACAAGACUGCCAUCGUAAGAUGUGAGGAAGGUGGGGAUGACGUCAAAUCAGCACGGCCCUUACGUCCGGGGCUACACACGUGUUACAAUGGGGGGUACAGAGGGCCGCUACCACGCGAGUGGAUGCCAAUCCCAAAAACCUCUCUCAGUUCGGACUGGAGUCUGCAACCCGACUCCACGAAGCUGGAUUCGCUAGUAAUCGCGCAUCAGCCACGGCGCGGUGAAUACGUUCCCGGGCCUUGUACACACCGCCCGUCAAGCCAUGGGAGCCGGGGGUACCUGAAGUGCGUAACCGCGAGGAGCGCCCUAGGGUAAAACUGG